AGUGAACGCUGGCGGUAGGCCUAACACAUGCAAGUCGAACGGCAGCACAGUAAGAGCUUGCGCUGACGGGUGGCGAGUGGCGGACGGGUCAGGAAUACAUCGGAAUCUACUUUUUCGUGGGGGAUAACGUAGGGAAACUUACGCUAAUACCGCAUACGACCUACGGGUGAAAGCAGGGGAUCUUCGGACCUUGCGCGAUUGAAUGAGCCGAUGUCGGAUUAGCUAGUUGGCGGGGUAAAGGCCCACCAAGGCGACGAUCCGUAGCUGGUCUGAGAGGAUGAUCAGCCACACUGGAACUGAGACACGGUCCAGACUCCUACGGGAGGCAGCAGUGGGGAAUAUUGGACAAUGGGCGCAAGCCUGAUCCAGCCAUACCGCGUGGGUGAAGAAGGCCUUCGGGUUGUAAAGCCCUUUUGUUGGGAAAGAAAAGCAGCAGGUUAAUACCACGCUGUUCUGACGGUACCCAAAGAAUAAGCACCGGCUAACUUCGUG
rnacentral:rRNA from 1 species